AUGGCUUCCAAAUUGGUGGCAUCUCAACUACGGCCGUGCAUGGGUGAGUUGGUUCAGGUGAAUCAAUCGACAUUCAUUAAGGGAAGGAACAUUCAUGACAACUUCCUGCUUGUGAGGCAAUUGGCAAGGAAACUUCACAAAAGGAGAACGAAGGGAGUGAUGCUCAAGUUGGAUAUCUCGCGCGCUUUCGACUCUCUUUCUUGGCCGUUCCUUUUUGAAGUGCUGCGGGCAAAGGGCUUCUCUAGCACCUGGAGAUCAUGGAUAUCCACCCUACUAAUGACAACAAGCUCGCGUGUGGUUGUCAAUGGUUGUGCGGGCAGGAAUUUCAUGCAUGCUUGCGGGCUAAGGUAG
rnacentral:rRNA from 1 species